rnacentral:rRNA from 1 species
UGCAUGUCUAAGUAUAAGCAAUUAUACAGCGAAACUGCGAAUGGCUCAUUAUAUAAGUUAUCGUUUAUUUGAUAGUACCUUACUACUUGGAUAACCGUGGUAAUUCUAGAGCUAAUACAUGCUAAAAAUCCCGACUUCGGAAGGGAUGUAUUUAUUAGAUUAAAAACCAAUGCCCUCUGGGCUCCUUGGUGAUUCAUGAUAACUCUUCGAAUCGCACGGCCUUGCGCCGGCGAUGGUUCAUUCAAAUUUCUUCCCUAUCAACUUUCGAUGUUUGGGUAUUGGCCAAACAUGGUUGCAACGGGUAACGGAGGGUUAGGGCUCGACCCCGGAGAAGGAGCCUGAGAAACGGCUACUACAUCCAAGGAAGGCAGCAGGCGCGCAAAUUACCCAAUCCCGAUUCGGGGAGGUAGUGACAAUAAAUACUGAUACAGGGCUCUUUUGGGUCUUGUAAUUGGAAUGAGUACAAUUUAAAUCCCUUAACGAGGAACAAUUGGAGGGCAAGUCUGGUGCCAGCAGCCGCGGUAAUUCCAGCUCCAAUAGCGUAUAUUAAAGUUGUUGUGGUUAAAAAGCUCGUAGUUGAACCUUGGGCCUGGCUGGCCGGUCCGCCUCACCGCGUGCACUGGUCCGGCCGGGCCUUUCCCUCUGUGGAACCCCAUGCCCUUCACUGGGCGUGGCGGGGAAACAGGACGUUUACUUUGAAAAAAUUAGAGUGCUCCAGGCAGGCCUAUGCUCGAAUACAUUAGCAUGGAAUAAUGAAAUAGGACGCGUGGUUCUAUUUUGUUGGUUUCUAGGACCGCCGUAAUGAUUAAUAGGGACAGUCGGGGGCAUCAGUAUUCAAUUGUCAGAGGUGAAAUUCUUGGAUUUAUUGAAGACUAACUACUGCGAAAGCAUUUGCCAAGGAUGUUUUCAUUAAUCAGGAACGAAAGUUAGGGGAUCGAAGACGAUCAGAUACCGUCGUAGUCUUAACCAUAAACUAUGCCGACUAGGGAUCGGACGAUGUUAUUUUUUGACGCGUUCGGCACCUUACGAGAAAUCAAAGUGCU